ACCAUUAGCUAUAUCACCCUGCAACUCACAACUGUCCAGUCACAGAAGCAGGUAUGAGCCUGACCAGUCUUGGAUGGGAGACCUCCUGGGAAAGCUAAGGUUGCUGCUGGAA
rnacentral:rRNA from 1 species